rnacentral:rRNA from 1 species
CACGUAGACGGUUUGUUAAGUCGGAUGUGAAAGCCCCGGGUUCAACCUGGGAACUGCAUUCGAUACUGUCAGACUAGAGUAUAGAAGAGGCAAGUGGAAUUCCGGGUGUAGCGGUGAAAUGCGUAGAUAUCCGGAGGAACAUCAGUGGCGAAGGCGACUUGCUGGUCUAAUACUGACGCUGAGGUGCGAAGCGUGGGGAGCAAACG